AUUGAACGCUGGCGGCAGGCCUAACACAUGCAAGUCGAGCGAGCGGCGGACGGGUGAGUAAUGUAUGGGGACUGCCCGAUAGAGGGGGAGAACUACUGGAACCGGUAGCUAAUACCGCAUACUAUCGGAUAACCCAUAUGGGAUUAGCUAGUAGGUGAGGUAAUGGCUGACCUAGGCGACGAUCCCUAGCUGGUCUGAGAGGAUGAUCAGACACACUGGGACUGGGACACGGCCCAGACUCUUACGGAGGCAGCAGUGGGGAAAAUGGCACGAUGGGCGCAAGCCUGAUGCAGCCAUGCCGGGUGUAUGAAGAAGGCCAUAGGGUUGUAAAGUACUUUCAGUCGGGAGGCGUUACCGACAGAAGAAGCACCGGCGAACUCCGUGCCAGCAGCAGCGGUAAUAC
rnacentral:rRNA from 1 species